CCUAACCCCCAGUGUAGACACAGCUAUGCUGAUGGAAGAAUGCGUCUGUUGAUGUAGCUACUGUUAUUCAGAGGAGGUGGAGUUUGGACAGAAAAACCCCUUC